rnacentral:tRNA from 1 species
GGAGCAGUAAGCCUAAUUUGGUAAGGCAGCGGUUUGCUAAACCGCCAGUAACCCAUAAGGGUGUGCAGGUUCGAGUCCUGUCUGCUCCG